UUGAAAAUUCUAAUCGGUUUUCCUUAAUCCAUAGAACAGGUACAGCACUGGCAGUAGGUGUGCAAGUUCACAUGCUGCUCUGCCAAUGUACCUUCACUCCGACCUGGUGGGAUCACCUCUAGGCAUUGCAGAUUAGUUCAGUCUCUAUGAUUAGUCACGGGCCUCU
rnacentral:sRNA from 1 species